UUCCUACGGGGGGCUGCAGGCGCGAAAACUUUACAAUGCGGGAAACCGUGAUAAGGGAAUCUCGAGUGCCAGCAUAUAAUGUUGGCUGUCCAGAUGCCUAAAAAGCAUCUGUUAGCAAGGGCCGGGCAAGACCGGUGCCAGCCGCCGCGGUAACACCGGCGGCCCGAGUGGUAACCGCUUUUAUUGGGUCUAAAGGGUCUGUAGCCGGCCAAGUAAGUCCCUUGGGAAAUCUGGCAGCUUAACUGUCAGGCUGCCAGGGGAUACUGCUGGGCUUGGGACCGGGAGAGGUGAGAGGUACCUUGGGGGUAGGGGUGAAAUCUUGUGAUCCUCGGGGGACCACCAGUGGCGAAGGCGUCUCACCAGAACGGGUCCGACGGUAAGGGACGAAAGCUAGGGGCACGAACCGGAUUAGAUACCCGGGUAGUCGC
rnacentral:rRNA from 1 species